rnacentral:snoRNA from 1 species
AUGCAUCCAUUUGACACCUGGAGCAGUUACUGUCUGCAGCUAAGGUGAUCCACUCUAGACGCAAGAAAAAAUUCUCCUUGUGUUUACUGUCUGUUUCAAUUGUUUCAGCCAAGAUUGAAUAAGGAAUACAAGA